rnacentral:rRNA from 1 species
GAUGAACGCUGGCGGCGUGCCUAAUACAUGCAAGUCGAGCGAACAGACGAGGAGCUUGCUCCUCUGACGUUAGCGGCGGACGGGUGAGUAACACGUGGAUAACCUACCUAUAAGACUGGGAUAACUUCGGGAAACCGGAGCUAAUACCGGAUAAUAUAUUGAACCGCAUGGUUCAAUAGUGAAAGACGGUUUUGCUGUCACUUAUAGAUGGAUCUGCGCCGCAUUAGCUAGUUGGUAAGGUCACGGCUUACCAAGGCAACGAUGCGUAGCCGACCUGAGAGAGUGAUAGGCCACCCGGGAACGGAGACACGCACAUGACUCCUACGGUAGGGCGCAGUAGGGUACCUGCCGCAAUGGGCGAAAGCUUGACGGAGCAAGGCCACGUGAGUGAUGAAGGUCUUGGGAUCGUAAAACCGUGUUAUGGGGGAAGAACCAAUGUGUAAGUAAAUAAGCCCGUCUUGACGGUACCUAAUAAGAAAGCCACGGCUAACUACGUG